CUAACUUCGGCGUCCUGAGGGGAGGCCCCGCGAGGCAGCCACCAGGGAAGCCUGAGGAGACGGCGCUGGGGCGCCGGGCCGGAGCGGCCCGCCCGGAGCGCGCGCGGAGCCCUGACCGCACACCCCGCGCCGCGGGCCGGGUCCGAGAGGCGAGCGGGCUGAGUCCCUGCCCUCCGGGAACGACGACGGUUGAGCUGCUUCCUAGAGGGCAAAUCUGGCAGAGGGCAAAUGAAAGGAGAACGAAUUGCGAAGUAUUUAUGUUGAUGGACCAUGAAGUCGAUCAUGGAGAGGGAGAAAAUAAAGGCAACAGGUUGCUCAUGGACAGGGAAAAGUGGAAGAAUCAAUGGACUGGACAAGGUCAUUGAAUGGCCUAUCCACACAGAUGUCUGAGUCUCUCAUAGAUUCCCCCCUUCAAAAUCUCUGCCCUGGGCCCCAUCCAGCCCCUUCCCCAGCCUCCAGAGGAUCUGCAUUCACACUUCAACUUAAGCCUCAGAUCCCAAAAGGGUAACGAUGCACUGGGCCUGAAGCCAGAAUGGGGUAGUUAGAGAGGGCUCUAGUGGACAUCUGUUUUGUUUUAUUUCGUUUUGUUUUGAUGCCAGCACGCAUGCAUCUUUCUGGAAAAAGUAUGUCAAUGUCCUCUGGAGGAACUACCCAUUUCUUCAGUCUCAGUGCACGAGCAGGUGGAGUGCUCUUGCCUCCACUUCCUUACUGCAAGGGUGUAUAUGUGACUCAGACCUGUCAAAAGAAGCGUUCUAUUCCCCUGUGAGCAGUUCAGUGAGUAGUUCAGUGAUGGAUACCUAACCAACCAACUGGAACCCAUAAGGCACAAGAUUGUCAGAGCAACACCACAUUUUCAGCUUCACUUGAACCUGCUACCACACAAAACCUUAGAAUAAAUCAGCACAGAAGACAGAGAGCCAAGAAAUAGAAACUGAAUCCUGAUGACAUUGAGUUGAGUGCCUACAUCAGUCCUACUACCUGAAGCCAGUCCUACUCCUGGACUGUUCAGUUAUAAAUCAGUACAUUCCCAUUGUGUUUACAUCU
rnacentral:lncRNA from 1 species